GACGAACGCGGGGCGUGCUUAACACAUGCAAGUCGAACGUGAUUUUUGUGGAAAUUCUUUCGGGAAGGAAAUGAAAUGAAAGUGGCGAACGGUGAGUAACACGUGAGCAACCUACCUUACACAGGGGGAUAGCCGUGGAAACGACGAUUAAUACCGCAUGAGACCACAGAAUCGCAUGAAUAGGGGUCAAAGAUUAUCGGCGUAAGAAGGGCUCGCGUCUGAUAGCUAGUGGAAGGGUAAAGGCCUACCAAGGCGACGAUCAGUAGCCGGUCUGAGAGGAUGAACGGCCACAUGGAACUGAGACACGGUCCAAACUCCUACGGGAGGCAGCAGUGGGGAAUAUUGCACAAUGGGGGGAACCCUGAUGCAGCGACGCCGCGUGAGCGAAGAAGGUUUUCGAAUCGUAAAGCUCUGUCCUAUGAGAAGAUAAUGACGGAUCAUAGGAGGAAGCC
rnacentral:rRNA from 1 species